rnacentral:tRNA from 1 species
GGAUGUUUUUGACUUCUCCCGAAA